rnacentral:rRNA from 1 species
GCUUUCCCUCCAGAGUGGAUCCUGAGUACGGCGGAACACGUGAAAUUCCGUCGGAAUCCGGGAGGACCAUCUCCCAAGGCUAAAUACUCCCUAGUGACCGAUAGGGAACCAGUACCGUGAGGGAAAGGUGAAAAGCACCCCGGAAGGGGAGUGAAACAGUUCCUGAAACCGUGUGCCUACAAGUAGUUAGAGCCCGUUAAUGGGUGAUAGCGUGCCUUUUGUAGAAUGAACC